rnacentral:rRNA from 1 species
GCUACGGGAGGCUGCAGUGGGGAAUAUUGGGCAAUGGGCGCAAGCCUGACCCAGCAACGCCGCGUGAAUGAAGAAGGCUUUCGGGUUGUAAACUUCUUUUCUGAGGGACGAAGAAAGUGACGGUACCUCAGGAAUAAGCCACUGGUAACUACGUGCCAGCAGCCGCGGUACUACGUAGGUGGCAAGCGUUAUCCGGAUUUAUUGGGUGUAAAGGCCGUGUAGGCGGGACAGAAAGUCAGAUGUGACACCUCAGGGAUCCACCCUGAGCCUGCAUUUGAAACUGUUUUUCUUGAGUGCUGGAGAGGCAAUCGGAAUUCCGGGUGUAGCGGUGAAAUGCGUAGAUAUAAGGAGGAACACCAGUGGCGAAGGCGGAUUGCUGGACAGUAACUGACGCUGAGGCGCGAAAGCGUGGGGAGCAAACAGGAUUAGAUACCCCGGUAGUC